rnacentral:rRNA from 1 species
UCAGUAACGGCGAGUGAAGCGGCAACAGCUCAAAUUUGAAAUCUGGCCCUUUCAGGGUCCGAGUUGUAAUUUGCAGAGGGUGCUUUGGCGUCGGCCGUGGUCUAAGUUCCUUGGAACAGGACGUCACAGAGGGUGAGAAUCCCGUACGUGGCCGCCGGUCUUCGCCGUGUAAAGCCCCUUCGACGAGUCGAGUUGUUUGGGAAUGCAGCUCUAAAUGGGAGAUAAAUUUCUUCUAAAGCUAAAUAUUGGCCAGAGACCGAUAGCGCACAAGUAGAGUGAUCGAAAGAUGAAAAGCACUUUGGAAAGAGAGUCAAAAAGCACGUGAAAUUGUUGAAAGGGAAGCGCUUGCAGCCAGACGUGCCCGCAGUUGCUCACCUAGGCUUUUGCCUGGGGCAUUCUUCUGCGGGCAGGCCAGCAUCAGUUCGGACGGUUGGAUAAAGGCCUCUGUCACGUAUCUUCCUUCGGGAUGACCUUAUAGGGGAGGCGCAACACGA